CCCUGGCUAGCUCAGUCAGUAAAGCAUGAGACUCUUGGUCUCAGGGUAAUGAGUUUGAGCCCCAUGUUGGGGU
rnacentral:tRNA from 1 species